CGCCGGUUCCGCGCCGGGCUGGAGCUCCCUGUGACAGCCCCCGGCUGGGCCAGAGGCGGACAGACCGCCUCGUGGGUAGGGCUUGUCUGCCCCGGGGGUCUGUGGUGUUCUUCAGCUGGUGUGGAUGAGGGAUAAUGAUGCUCUCAGAGUCCUGGUGCUUUGAGCAGAAGGUGCAGGAGAAAGAUGGCGUGGAAAGAGACAGAAAUCACAAUUUCCUUUGGAGCAACUUCUGCAUGAUGAAAAAAGAUAUAAUGGUGCAAGAGCACAGUCAGAGCUUUCCCAAGGACUCCUUUGGUGCUGUGUGGAAAGUCUUCCAGGUUUUUGGCAGAAGUACGUUUCUCUUCAUCAAAGAUACUUUGCUCAGUGUUUGUGACUGCCAGUGAAGUCUGUUCUUUAGUUGUGUACUGGAGAGGGAAGUUCUGGUAGCCUGGCUCAGCUAGCAGGCUUUCAGUUUGAGGACCAGUGCAGGCAGUGUGAUUCCUGUGUUUGAACAUGAGGUAUGCAGGAUGUGGAUCCAAAAACGUUGAGAACAGCAAGUGAAUCAUAAGAUCCUUUUGUCUGUUGAGGUUUCUGCACAAGGGAGUCGGUUUCUUAGAAAAUAGAUAGCUAUGCAGAAGGGCAAGGAAAAAUGGAGUACUUCAACCUGCUGAUGGCCUAUGUGAGAAACACAUCAAAAGCUACCACUGUGGUCCUUAUAAAUAAUAAAUAAAAGGUUGAAUAAAAGGCUUUUCAGUGCAGUUGUGAUACUGGUGUUCAUCCUAGUGGUGCUUCCUGUUGCUCAUACCUUGUCUUUGAGGAGUACCAAGGCUGGGUUUCUUUGAACUUACCUGUGCUUUCAUUCAGUUUGGGAGGCAGGAGGUGCUUUCUUUCUCUUGGCAGUUCCUAGCAACCUUAUCCCAACUUCUUCAGACUUCUGGGUCUGGAAUAGAGUCCUGAUUAAGUGACUGUUCUUACAAGCUUGUCAGCUCAGUUUCUCUGAAGCUGUCGCAGCACAACUCAGGCUUAUUUUGGAAAGCACAGCUUCCUUGAAGGGCUGGGUGGAUGACAGCACAAGAGCAAGGCGGCAGUGUGGUCGAUGUCCAGCUUCCUCUUCACAGGUGUUCUCUCUUGCUCUAAAUCUCUUCUUGCUACUUGGGUUGCUUUUUAGCCAAGUGAGCAAAAUAAAAAGAUUUUCUUUCUCUUAAAUAUUUUUGUCACCUCCUGCCUUUUUCAUAUAAAUACACUGAUCGUUUUUUCAGAACCUCAGCUAAGGAAUUUCUUUGGGUCAUAUGUAUGUGAUCUGGGGGAUGCAGUUAUGUCCAAGUUUUUCAGUUAAGCAAAACCGUAGGAGGUGAGGUGAAAGAGUGGAAUUCUCUCCAGUUUCCUGUUUCUAUUACUGCAAAGUCCUUACGGCUUGUUCCUUUUGAGGGUGUUCACCAGCUUUACAACCUAAAUCCACAAUGAGGCUUUUGUAAAGCCUGCCAAACGAAUUGAUCUGAACUGGCUUAUCUUUUGUCACCUGUGCUUUUCACAUGUGUUAAGCAACUGAACUUCCUCAUAUGGAACUUGAAUGUUGUAACAAUUUUAAUUUAGUCACAAAUACACACAAAUCAGUAUACCCAAGGAAGGCUUCCUUCUUCAGGA